GCGUUAAUCGGAAUUACUGGGCGUAAAGGGCGCGUAGGCGGUGAAGUAAGUCGGGUGUGAAAGCCCCGGGCUCAACCUGGGAACUGCAUCCGAUACUGCUUCGCUAGAGUAUGGUAGAGGGAAGCGGAAUUCCGGGUGUAGCGGUGAAAUGCGUAGAUAUCCGGAGGAACACCAGUGGCGAAGGCGGCUUCCUGGACCAAUACUGACGCUGAGGCGCGAAAGCGUG
rnacentral:rRNA from 1 species